GACAACUUGAACUGCUGGAAAAAUAAACCCUAACCCUGGAAACAGCAAGUAUAUGCUACAGUUGAAAACAUGUAUGUUUCCUGAAACCUUCUAAAAGGCCAUUGAUAGGUGAUACGGAAAGUGUCAUCCAGAGCAGCGUGGCCACCAAGUGAAGACUGAAUGUAAAUGGCUAUUGAUAAAACAGUUUUAAUACUAGAUGUUUUUUUCCAGUCCCUGGAAAUCAAUGGAGAGAAUUCCAUUCAUCCUGCACUAGGAUUCUCAUCCAUUGAAUACGCAUGUACAACAUUGGUAAAAAUAAGACUGUCUGGCUCCCUGGAAGGUUGAGAGAAAGAGCUCAUGUUCCAAAGAAAUGCUUCCUUCUGUGUGGAAGCAUCUACCAUGUCUUCUCUGCUGUCUUGUCUGUGCGGUCUUCUGAUAUGAGGUAAUUAUUUUGCAUUUGUUGAAUUAGCUGAGGACACUGAUAGUCUCAGGAAGAUCUAUUAAAUGUCAACUUGUUCUUUUCUGAUGCACUUAACCAGCAGAUGCUGUCCUGAAAUGUGCGUG
rnacentral:lncRNA from 1 species